CGCUGAUGUUUUAGAGCCGGGCUGAGAAGUACGGUCGUGUAGUUAAUGUACCGAUUGUUCUUCAGUCAUGUUUGUGGGGAUCUUGUGUGUGCUUCUUGCAACGCUAUAUGCAGAGGUGGUACAAUGCGAUGGGGAGGUCAACAUGAAUAUGAACUUACCAGGUGAAGACAUUAGACGACUUGGACGGUUUUCGUUCCAACUUGUGGCUAAUACCUCAUCCAACGGCACAGAGUUGACAUAUGGUUUUGUCUCCUGUGGAGUGGCGGUUCUGUUCUAUGGUUCUAACUUCGUCCCGGUAAAGAAAAUAUCCACCGGAGACGGGCUGUUCUUCCAGUGGGUGUUGUGCGCUGCUGUAUGGAGUGUUUCUCUGGUGGUGAACAUUAUUCUGGGCUCACCAACCUUUUGGCCUCUCGCCAUGCUUGGGGGUGCCAUCUGGGCUACAGGUAACAUCACGGUGGUCCCCAUUGUGAAAACCAUCGGUCUGGGCUUGGGCCUCCUCAUCUGGGCCUCCUUUAACCUUCUAAUGGGCUGGGCUAGCUCCAGGUUUGGAUGGUUUGGGAUUGAUGCAGAAGAAGUUUCUAACCCAACACUCAAUUACUGUGGAGCUGGACUUUGUCUGCUCAGUGCUGUAAUCUUCUUCUUCGUGAAGAGUGAUGUUCACAGUCAGUCCCCCAGUACAGAAGAACAGCAGCCAUUACUCAUAGACCGUAGUGUUAAUGCAGAUGGUGUGAACUGGUCAGAUGACUCCUGGGUGGACACUCUAAGACCAAAGACCAAACGAGUGGUUGGUUCUCUAUUAGCAGUGUUUGCUGGUUUGUUGUAUGGUUCCUCCUUUGUUCCAGUUCUCUACAUCAAGAACCAUGCAGCACAUCGUGACAGUCCCUUUUCUGGGGCCAGCCAGUUUGAUUUGGACUAUGUGUUUGCUCAGUUCAGUGGGAUCUUCUUGACCAGUACUGUCUACUUCCUGAUCUAUUGUUCAGCAAUGAAGAACUCCCCUAGAGUGUAUCCUCGAGCAAUAUUACCUGGCUUCGUGUCAGGAGUGAUGUGGGGUGUUGCUACGUGCUGCUGGUUUCUUGCCAACACCUUCCUGAGUGCUGUGGUUAGUUUCCCCAUUAUAACCACGGGUCCUGGUGUAAUUGCAGCUCUGUGGGGUGUGGUCGUCUUUAAGGAGGUUAAAGGAUGGCUAAACUUCCUUAUCUUGGCUGUAGCCUUCUCACUGGUCCUGGCUGGAGCCAUGCUAACUGCGUGGUCUAAGGUUUAAAACACACACACACUAAAGUGUGCUGACUUCAUUCCAUCAGUUGACAACUCAGGGACCCAUGUUGAUGAGGGUGAUGAAGAUUUGUUUACGAUACUCUGAUAAGGAACCUGGAUGAGGAUUGACCAGGAUGAUUUUGAGGGUGAUAAGGAACCUGGAUGAGGAUUGACCAGGAUGAUUUUGAGGGUGAUAAGGAACCUUUCCUUACUCCAAUAAGGAACGUUCUUACCUGUUAACUGAAGCACUUUCAUCACCAAUUUCUAUUGAAAACAUCUUUAGUUAGCUAGUCUUUAAUGUGUUUCAGUAUAAUCUUUUAAUAUUUCAUCAUUAUUUGGGGUGUAUUGAAGAAAUAAUGUUGGACUCAAAGGGAUUCUCUCCUUGUUUUUAUAUAGUAUGUAUUACACUGUAUAAUAAGAUGAGCUGUAACAGAACACUAUGGAGUUCUGGAAUGUGAUGUAACAACAUGUCAAAUGCAGUAUAAUAAAUAAUAAAAAUAAUAUAAUGAAGUGUUAUAUAUUAUGCAACAUUUUCUAUUAAUGGGGAAAAGAGGCUACAUUUAGGCUUUCACCACAUUGUGCUGGAAAAUGUAAUAGCUUUUUAUACAAUGCAGGUGUUUCUGCAUCCAGCUGUUGAUUAUGGUUUUGACAAUUCAGUGCAUGAGCAGUUAGAUCAUUGACCAGGUCUCUAUUUGAGCAAUAAAUAUUUUUUUAAAGGCCAAAAGGGGACAAGGGGGGACAACAGGUGGAGGAUAAUAGAGGUGUACUGGACGCACAUACCAGUUUUACUUACUCAAACAUUCUGUGGGCAGAAAGAAAUUGAUUGGUUUUAUAGACAGGGGACGUGGCAGUGUAGUGUCCACAUCUAUAGAUGGUGGACGUGGCAGUGUAGUGUCCACAUCUGUAGAUGGUGGACGUGGCAGUGUAGUGUCCACAUCUAUAUAUGGUGGACGUGGCAGUGUAGUGUCCACAUCCGUGGCAGGUGGACGUGGCAGUGUAGUGCCCACAUCUAUAUAUGGUGGACGUGGCAGUGUAGUGGCCACAUUUAUAGGUGGACGUGGCAGUGUAGUGGCCACAUUUAUAGGUGGACGUGGCAGUGUAGUGGCCACAUCUAUAGGUGGACGUGGCAGUGUAGUGCCCACAUCUAUAUAUGGUGGACGUGGCAGUGUAGUGUCCACAUCCGUAGCAGGUGGACGUGGCAGUGUAGUGCCCACAUCUAUAUAUGGUGGACGUGGCAGUGUAGUGUCCACAUCUGUAGAUGGUGGACGUGGCAGUGUAGUGUCCACAUCUAUAUAUGGUGGACGUGGCAGUGUAGUGUCCACAUCCGUGGCAGGUGGACGUGGCAGUGUAGUGCCCACAUCUAUAUAUGGUGGACGUGGCAGUGUAGUGGCCACAUUUAUAGGUGGACGUGGCAGUGUAGUGGCCACAUUUAUAGGUGGACGUGGCAGUGUAGUGGCCACAUCUAUAGGUGGACGUGGCAGUGUAGUGCCCACAUCUAUAUAUGGUGGACGUGGCAGUGUAGUGUCCACAUCCGUAGCAGGUGGACGUGGCAGUGUAGUGCCCACAUCUAUAUAUGGUGGACGUGGCAGUGUAGUGUCCACAUCCGUAGCAGGUGGACGUGGCAGUGUAGUGCCCACAUCUAUAUAUGGUGGACGUGGCAGUGUAGUGCCCACAUCUA